ACAAGUUGCGUCCUUCAUCUG
rnacentral:misc_RNA from 1 species